CGGGGGGGCAAGCGUUGUUCGGAAUUACUGGGCGUAAAGGGCUCGUAGGUGGCCAACUAAGUCAGACGUGAAAUCCCCAGGCUUAACCUGGGAACUGCGUCUGAUACUGGAUGGCUUGAAUUCGGGAGAGGGAUGCAGAAUUCCAGGUGUAGCGGUGAAAUGCGUAGAUAUCUGGAGGAAUACCGGUGGCGAAGGCGGCAUCCUGGACCGAGAUUGACACUGAUGAGCGAAAGCCAGGGGAGCAAACGGGAUUAGAUACCCCGGUAGUCCUGGCCCUAAACGAUGAAUGCUUGGUGUGACGGGUAUCGAUCCCUGUCGUGCCGAAGCUAACGCAUUAAGCAUUCCGCCUGGGGAGUACGGUCGCAAGGCUG
rnacentral:rRNA from 1 species